rnacentral:rRNA from 1 species
GCGACCCCAGGACGGGCGAGGCCACCCGCCGAGUUUAAGCAUAUCAAUUGGCGGAGGAGAAG